AAGGGAUAUAUUCAGAUAACUGAAUUUCUGGGACUGAAGAAGCUGAAGAUAGUUUACCCCCAAGUUUUGAUAUUUUCAUGAGCAAGGGUUGUACUUUUAAUGCAAGAUCCAAAGGGGAGAACUCAUGCUCCAAAAUAUGUUCCAUAUGAGAUGCGCCAUGUGAGCGAUCAUAAGGAGGAACUGAGAGUGCAGCAAGAACAACAGAUGAAGCUAUUAACUGCAAGUCUUUCUGGGUUAAGUUCUUGUUGAAACUCUUUUGAAGUGUAAAUAGCUUCAGCCAUGAAAAGGCGUGGUAGAUAUGGCUUGAGGAGAUCCAAAAGAUUCUGGUUAAUUUGGCGUAAUAUAUAACUAAAAAUGAUGCCUUUGGAGUUUUCUUGACUAUACACAUUAGUCCAUAUAUGUCUUCAACAGAACGGAAAGCUUCCUGAUGAACAUGUCAAGGAGAUAAAGAACAAACCUGCCAAAGUUGAAGCUCAGUAGCAACCUUCAAUUGCUCAAAUCUUGUGUCAAGAUACAAUUGCAAACUUUCUGGAGCAGAGAGAUCAGAAUUGGAAGGCCCGAUGUGCAGUCAUCUGUAUGAAUGAAUAAUGCUGCAGCUUAGUAAUAGUUUGCUAAAUUCUACAAACUUAAAAGUCAACUUCCCACUUACUGUAAUUCUACUUGUUAAGGUAGCAAGAUUAUCAUCUUAUAACUUCAAACACUUCCCACAUGAACCGUAUACUGAGGUUUAAGUUUUAAUUGUGUUCCAGUCAUUUUCAGUUGUAAAAGUCAAACUUAUGUUUUGACUCGAUCAUAAGGGCAAUUUCGUCAUUUCACCAACUCUACUAUAUAUAUGUAUAUGUAUGCUUGUGUUCUAUGUA